UACGGAGGGUGCAAGCGUUAAUCGGAAUUACUGGGCGUAAAGCGCGCGCAGGUGGUUUUGCAAGUCAGGGGUGAAAGCCCAGAGCUCAACUCUGGAACUGCCUUUGAGACUGUAAGACUUGGGUACGGGAGAGGUGAGUGGAAUUCCGAGUGUAGAGGUGAAAUUCGUAGAUAUUCGGAAGAACACCAGUGGCGAAGGCGGCUCACUGGCCCGUUACCGACACUCAGGCGCGAUAGCGUGGGGAGCAAACAGG
rnacentral:rRNA from 1 species